rnacentral:rRNA from 1 species
UACGAGUACCCCAAGCGUUAUCCGGAAUUAUUGGGCGUAAAGGGUGCGUAAGUGGUUGUAUUAGUCCUGUGUUAAAACCCCCAGCUUAACUGGGGAAUCGCAUGGGAAACGGUACAACUAGAGGAUGUGAGAGGUGUGUAGAACUCAUGGAGUAGGGGUGAAAUCCGUUGAUAUCAUGGGGAAUACCAAAAGCGAAGGCAGCACACUGGCACAUUCCUGACACUGAAGCACGAAAGCGUGGGUAGCGAAUGGG